GGUUUUAUUUUUCCGAUGUUACGACGGCUUUACAUGAAAUUUGAAUCAUAAAGCUGUCAGUAACGUGGACAAAUAUUACU